GGGCCCGUAGCCCAGCCCGGAUUAAGGCGCCGGCCUCCGGAGCCGGAGAUCUGGGGUUCAAAUCCCCGCGGGCCCGCCA
rnacentral:tRNA from 1 species